rnacentral:lncRNA from 1 species
UUUGGGCAUAAUCCAUCUUCGGUUGGCAUGAAAUGUCUAUCCUAAUCUAAGGUGGCAGCACAUCGCAUCUUCCCUAAGCAUGGACUAUCUUAUAUUUACCUAGUGAUCAUGAAGAACAGUUGUAUAAACUUCCCAUUUAAAAUCACAGAAAUUAAAUAUGAGAUGAAAUAAAAUAUUUAUUAGAAGCAAAAUAAGGUUUAUACAACUCCAAGAAUAGAAAUCAAAAAUAUAAAACCCUUGGCCCUUUGUUAGGGCUGCAUCCAGCCCUAGUGAGGAGAUCAGCCUUUCAUGGAGUGGUGGACGGCAGCAGCAGCACAGCAGCAGGCUCCCAUCCCUUUCUUCUCUUUCUCCUUUGAAAUAUUCCCAAAAUAGCCAAACCUCUCUCCCUCCUCUGCUUUUUUUUUAUUCUUGUGGGAACUUGACCUCUGGAGAGAUGGGUUUCAAGGAAGAGAAGCCUCCUCCUUUUAUAGCUUUCACCAGCCCCCUCU